GUGACUAGUGACAGAGUUAGGGAGGGAAGGGGUAACUAGUGACAGAGGGAGGGGUGACUAGGGACAGAGUGAGGGAGAUGGUGACUAGUGACUAGUGACAGUCACCACCUCUGUCACUAGUCACCACCUCCCUCCCUCUGUCACUGGUCACCCACUCCCUCCCUCACUCUUUCACCAGUCAUCCCCUUACUCUGUCACUAGUCACCCCUUCCUUCCCUCACUCUGCCACUAGUCACCCCUUCCCUCACUCUGUCACUAGUCAC